rnacentral:rRNA from 1 species
AUUGAACGCUGGCGGCAUGCCUUCACAUGCAAGUCGAACGGCAGCACGGGAGCAAUCCUGGUGGCGAGUGGCGAACGGGUGAGUAAUAUAUCGGAACGUGCCCAGUCGUGGGGGAUAACGCAGCGAAAGCUGUGCUAAUACCGCAUACGAUCUAAGGAUGAAAGCGGGGGAUCGCAAGACCUCGCGCGAUUGGAGCGGCCGAUAUCAGAUUAGCUAGUUGGUGGGGUAAAGGCCCACCAAGGCGACGAUCUGUAGCUGGUCUGAGAGGACGACAAGCAACAAUGGAACUGAGACACGGUCCAGACUCCUACGGGAGGCAGCAGUGGGGGAUUUUGGACAAUGGGCGCAAGCCUGAUCCAGCAAUGCCGCGUGCAGGAUGAAGGCCUUCGGGUUGUAAACUGCUUUUGUACGGAACGAAACGGCCCUUUCUAAUACAGGGGGCUAAUGACGGUACCGUAAGAAUAAGCACCGGCUAACUACGUGCCAGCAGCCGCAGUAAAAC